AAAUUGAAGAGUUUGAUCAUGGCUCAGAUUGAACGCUGGCGGCAGGCCUAACACAUGCAAGUCGAACGGUAACAGGAAACAGCUUGCUGUUUCGCUGACGAGUGGCGGACG
rnacentral:rRNA from 1 species